AGCGAACGCUGGCGGCAGGCUUAACACAUGCAAGUCGAGCGGGCGUAGCAAUAUGUCACGCGGCAGACGGGUGAGUAACGCGUGGGAACAUACCUUUUGGUUCGGAACAACACAGGGAAACUUGUGCUAAUACCGGAUAAGCCCUUACGGGGAAAGAUUUAUCGCCGAAAGAUUGGCCCGCGUCUGAUUAGCUAGUUGGUGAGGUAACGGCUCACCAAGGCGACGAUCAGUAGCUGGUCUGAGAGGAUGAUCAGCCACAUUGGGACUGAGACACGGCCCAAACUCCUACGGGAGGCAGCAGUGGGGAAUAUUGGACAAUGGGCGAAAGCCUGAUCCAGCCAUGCCGCGUGAGUGAUGAAGGCCCUAGGGUUGUAAAGCUCUUUUGUGCGGGAAGAUAAUGACGGUACCGCAAGAAUAAGCCCCGGCUAACUUCGUGCCAGCAGCCGCGGUAAUACGAAGGGGGCUAGCGUUGCUCGGAAUCACUGGGCGUAAAGGGUGCGUAGGCGGGUUUUUAAGUCAGAGGUGAAAUCCUGGAGCUCAACUCCAGAACUGCCUUUGAUACUGAGAAUCUUGAGUUCGGGAGAGGUGAGUGGAACUGCGAGUGUAGAGGUGAAAUUCG
rnacentral:rRNA from 1 species